rnacentral:rRNA from 1 species
CGAUUCAGCAGCCGCGGUAAUACAGAGGGGGCAAGCGUUGUUCGGAAUUACUGGGCGUAAAGGGCGCGUAGGCGGCCGCCUAAGUCAGACGUGAAAUCCCUCGGCUCAACCGGGGAACUGCGUCUGAUACUGGGUGGCUUGAAUUCGGGAGAGGGAUGCGGAAUUCCAGGUGUAGCGGUGAAAUGCGUAGAUAUCUGGAGGAACACCGGUGGCGAAGGCGGCAUCCUGGACCGAGAUUGACGCUGAGGCGCGAAAGCCAGGGGAGCAAACGGGAUUAGAUACCCCGGUAGUCCUGGCCCUAAACGAUGAGUGCUUGGUGUGGCGGGUAUCGAUCCCUGCCGUGCCGAAGCUAACGCAUUAAGUUGACCGCUGGGGAGUACGGCCGCA